GGCCGCCUGGCGUAAUGGCAACGCGUCUGACUACGAUUUGUUUGGCUAUUGUGGGCUAAGGUAAUCAGGAGAUUGCAGGUUCGACCCCUGCGGUGGUCA